AUUGAACGCUGGCGGCAUGCCUUACACAUGCAAGUCGAACGGCAGCACGGGAGCAAUCCUGGUGGCGAGUGGCGAACGGGUGAGUAAUAUAUCGGAACGUGCCCAGUCGUGGGGGAUAACGCAGCGAAAGCUGUGCUAAUACCGCAUACGAUCUACGGAUGAAAGCGGGGGAUCGCAAGACCUCGCGCGAUUGGAGCGGCCGAUAUCAGAUUAGCUAGUUGGUGAGGUAAAGGCUAACCAAGGCGACGACCUGUAGCUGGUCUGAGAGGACGACCAGCCACACUGGAACUGAGACACGGGCCAGACUCCUACGGGAGGCAGCAGUGGGGAAUUUUGGACAAUGGGCGAAAGCCUGAUCCAGCAAUGCCGCGUGCAGGAUGAAGGCCUUCGGGUUGUAAACUGCUUUUGUACGGAACGAAACGGUGAGCUCUAAUACAGUUUGCUAAUGACGGUACCGUAAGAAUAAGCACCGGCUAACUACGUGCCAGCCGCCGCGGUAA
rnacentral:rRNA from 1 species